AGAGUUUAAGUGUAAAAGCAGAGCAAUGGCAGUGUUCUCCACAGGUGAGACUGGGCAACGGGAAUGUGUCAGCCUCGCUAAUGACGGCCGAGGCCUCGUCACUUAAGGAAGGGUUGAGAAAAGAGAAGAGCAACCAUGGCACAUCCAAGAUCUGUCCCGGGUCGAGGAGCUUUGGGUACUGGAAGUUGAAGAGUUCCCAUUUCACCAGCGGUGAUGGCUGAUCUGGAUGGUCAAUUUGACUGGAAUGAGAGACAACCUAGGAAUUAAUAAAGCACACACUGUCUGCAAGGGCGUUUCCAGACACCAUGGGAACGCGCGACAGCAAACCGAGCGGGAAAAACCCCCGGCACUGACUGUGGACAGGCGGGAGACCCGGAUGGAGCGGAAGGAGAAAGCCUGUCCGUGCGAGUAGCUGCGUCCUUCCAGCUGAGCGGAUGGAUAUUUUGCGGCGUCACUCCGGGAAGAAGCUGUUGGAGUUGGACUCCCGCCAGUGCCUCUGGAGGGCUCUUCCAGGCCUUGGGUCUCACCUUGCCUCGUUGGUCCCUCGUGUUCUGAGGAUCCAGCUUCUUGGACUGAGCAGCUGCUGGUUUCUGUGGCUCUUCAGUUUGCAGGGAUUGGAUCCAGGAUCUCAUGUGUGUCAGAUUAUCACAUCUUCCAUGAUCUGCAUACUGCUGCUGACAAAAUCUGCUUAAAAAUCCAACUUGAGAAUCUUUGUUUCUUUACUGGUGUGUCAGUGUUGUCUGCAACCUGCCAUGGGAGUUUUACUUUGCCUCUGCCUAACAUCCUGGGAUUUUUAAGUUAUCCAGUUAGCUUAGAAUUCUGGCAUUACUUGAGUAGAAUUAAACUCUAGAAUUGUUCAGACUUGAUACUUCAAUUCCUUAUGAGAAAAUUUGAUUUCAUUUUGGCCAUCCUUUACUUUUGGAAAGUACAGAUUUCCUUGAUACUUACAUAGGCCCAAAAGCUAAUUUUUGAAAAUUUUUGUUUUCACAAAGGGA